rnacentral:rRNA from 1 species
AACAAACGCUGGCGGCGUGCCUAAUACAUGCAAGUCGAACGGGGAAAGCUUUCGGGUGAGUACUAGUGGCGCACGGGUGAGGAACGCGUGGAUAAUCUGCCUUAGAGUGGGGGAUAACUAGUCGAAAGAUUAGCUAAUACCGCAUAAGACCACAGGAUCUGCGGCUCAAGGGGUCAAAGGUUUUUCGCUCUAAGAUGAGUCCGCGUAAGAUUAGAGAGUUGGUGAGGUAACGGCUCACCAAGGCGACGAUCUUUAACUGGUCUGAGAGGACGAUCAGUAACACUGGAACUGAGACACGGUCCAGACUCCUACGGGAGGCAGCAGUAGGGAAUAUUGCACAAUGGAGGAAACUCUGAUGCAGCGACGCCGCGUGAGUGAUGAAGGCCUUCGGGUCGUAAAGCUCUGUCGCAGGGGAAUAACACAAUGAAUGUACCCUGUAAGAAAGGAUCGGCUAACUUCGUGCCAGCCGCCGCCGUAAAAC